rnacentral:rRNA from 1 species
CGCGGCCUAUCAGCUUGUUGGUGGGGUAAUGGCUUACCAAGGCGACGACGGGUAGCCGGCCUGAGAGGGUGACCGGCCACACUGGGACUGAGACACGGCCCAGACUCCUACGGGAGGCAGCAGUGGGGAAUAUUGCACAAUGGGCGCAAGCCUGAUGCAGCGACGCCGCGUGAGGGAUGACGGCCUUCGGGUUGUAAACCUCUUUCAGCAGGGAAGAAGCUUUUGUGACGGUACCUGUAGAAGAAGCGCCGGCUAACUACGUGCCAGCAGCCGCGGUAAUACGUAGGGCGCAAGCGUUGUCCGGAAUUAUUGGGCGUAAAGAGCUCGUAGGCGGUUUGUCGCGUCUGCUGUGAAAGCCCGGGGCUUAACUCCGGGUGUGCAGUGGGUACGGGCAGACUGGAGUGCAGUAGGGGAGACUGGAAUUCCUGGUGUAGCGGUGAAAUGCGCAGAUAUCAGGAGGAACACCGAUGGCGAUGGCAGGUCUCUGGGCUGUUACUGACGCUGAGGAGCGAAAGCAUGGGGAGCGAACAGGAUUAGAUACCCUGGUAGUCCAUGCCGUAAACGUUGGGCACUAGGUGUGGGGGGCAUUCCACGUUCUCCGCGCCGUAGCUAACGCAUUAAGUGCCCCGCCUGGGGAGUACGG